AUCCAGCUAACGAGUCCCAAAUAGGACGAAACGUGCGUCCUGGAU
rfam:Schistosoma mattheei strain Denwood, Zambia genome assembly, scaffold: SMTD_scaffold0001348